rnacentral:rRNA from 1 species
GACGAACGCUGGCGGCGUGCUUAACACAUGCAAGUCGAACGGAAAGGCCCUGCUUGCAGGGUACUCGAGUGGCGAACGGGUGAGUAACACGUGGGUGAUCUGCCCUGCACUUCGGGAUAAGCUUGGGAAACUGGGUCUAAUACCGGAUAGGAGCCAUCUUUAGUGUGGUGGUUGGAAAGUUUUUUCGGUGUAGGAUGAGCUCGCGGCCUAUCAGCUUGUUGGUGGGGUAAUGGCCUACCACGGCGGCGACGGGUAGCCGGCCUGAGAGGGUGUACGGCCACAUUGGGACUGAGAUACGGCCCAGACUCCUACGGGAGGCAGCAGUGGGGAAUAUUGCACAAUGGGCGCAAGCCUGAUGCAGCGACGCCGCGUGGGGGAUGAAGGCCUUCGGGUUGUAAACUCCUUUCGCUAGGGACGAAGCUUUGUUGUGACGGUACCUAGAUAAGAAGCACCGGCUAACUACGUG